UACGAAGGGGGCUAGCGUUGUUCGGAUUUACUGGGCGUAAAGCGCGUUUAGGCGGGCCGUUAAGUUGGGGGUGAAAUCCCGGAGCUCAACUCCGGAACUGCCUCCAAAACUGGCGGCCUGGAGCAGAGGAGAGGCGAGCGGAAUUCCGAGUGUAGAGGUGAAAUUCGUAGACAUUCGGAGGAACACCAGUGGCGAAGGCGGCACGUUGGACUCGUGCUGACUCUGAGACGCGAAAGCGUGGGGAGCAAACAGG
rnacentral:rRNA from 1 species